UUUUCGAAGAAAAGAAAAGAGAAAAAGAAAAACUAUCUUCAUAUUCAUUUCUCCGUUUUCCUCUUUCCCGGCAAUAACAACACACCGAAUAAAACCCUAAUCGCGGUUGUCGCUAUAGCACGACCCAAGCCCUACCUCAUCGUCUCUCUCAGAUUUACCUCUGAAAUAUCCAUUUUUACCAAGGAUAUUACUGUUCUCGUUCUCCCACAACUUCUUUCUCUAAUCUUCGUUUGUCUUGUCAAUGGCGGAGGCUCGGAACGGCGAUCGGAGCGAGGAAACUGAUUACACAUCGGAAGACGAAGGGACUGAGGAUUACAGGCGAGGAGGGUAUCAUGCUGUUCGUGUUGGGGAUACUUUUAAGAAUGGUUGUUAUGUUGUUCAAAGCAAGCUCGGUUGGGGUCAUUUUUCCACUGUGUGGUUAGCUUGGGACACUCAGAAAUCGCGUUAUGUAGCUUUGAAAGUUCAAAAGAGCGCUCAGCAUUACACUGAAGCUGCGUUGGAUGAGAUUAAGAUUCUUAAGCAGAUUGCAGAGGGAGAUAUAGAAGACAAGAAGUGUGUUGUGAAGCUUUUGGAUCAUUUCAAGCACUCUGGCCCAAACGGGCAGCAUGUUUGUAUGGUUUUUGAGUACCUUGGAGACAACUUAUUGACUCUUAUUAAGUAUGCUGAUUACAGAGGGAUUCCUCUACACAUGGUGAAGGAAAUUUGUUUUCAUAUUUUAGUGGGAUUAGAUUACUUGCAUCGGAAGCUUUCAAUUAUACAUACAGAUUUAAAGCCAGAGAAUGUAUUGCUUCCUUCUAUGAUGGAUCCAUCUAAAGAUCCUAGAAAAUCAGGAAAUCCUCUCAUCCUUCCAAACAGUAAGAAUAAAACUUCGACUAGUUCUGAUGCUUCAAAUGAUGUUAAGAGCUACAAUGGAGACCUUACCAAGAACCAGAAAAAGAAGAUAAGGAAACGAGCUAAGAAGGCAGCCCAGGGGCGAUUGGAGAAGGAAACUGUUGAAGAAGACAUAGAUGAAGAAGACCCUGCAAGAGCUGGCACAGAAGAUUUAGAUAAUGGGGUUAAAUUAAAUGGCGGUACAACCAAAACUCAUAAAGAUGGUGCUGUGAAUGAUGCUGAUACAAAAAAUGCUGAUGAUUUGAAGGAUGCUGGGCCAGGAAAGAAAGGUCAGAGGAAAAUGAGCCGAGAAACAAGACGGAGACUGCUGGCAGCUGCUGAUCUUAAGUGCAAGCUGGUUGAUUUUGGAAAUGCAUGUUGGACAUACAAGCAAUUUACUAAUGAUAUUCAGACACGGCAGUAUAGAUGUCCUGAGGUUAUUCUUGGAUCUAAAUAUUCGACACCAGCAGAUAUGUGGUCAUUUGCUUGCAUUUGUUUUGAGUUGGCCACUGGUGAUGUUCUUUUUGAUCCACACAGUGGUGACAAUUAUGAAAGGGAUGAGGACCAUUUAGCAUUGAUGAUGGAGCUUCUUGGGGUGAUGCCCCGCAAGAUUGCAUUAGGCGGUCGGUACUCGAGGGACUACUUCAACAGAUAUGGAGAGUUGAGGCAUAUUCGUCAGUUGCGCUUUUGGCCUCUGAAUAAGGUGCUGACUGAGAAGUACGAUUUCAGCGAGCAAGAUGCUAACGACAUGGCAGAGUUUCUUACUCCUUUAUUGGAUUUUGCACCUGAAAAGAGACCAACAGCAGCACAAUGUCUUAGCCAUACUUGGCUCAGUUCUGUCCCAAGAAAUCUCGAGUGUUCUGUAUCAAGCCAUCAAAAUCAGCCGGUAGAUCAACCUGCUUCUAUAAAAGUAAGUGAGAAGGAUGAAAGAGAAGCCAUGGAGAUUGGAAUGGGAAACAUAGCUAUCGAUGGAACUUCAAAAUCCACCUCAUCGAAAUUGACGUGACUAGAGAUGUAAUGUACGACGUUUCAGGUUAUAUGUGUUGUGCAAUGUAGUGUACUGGUUUGCAGGUCAGGUUUCUGUUGGAGUUGGAAGCAUUCAUGGUCCGUGUUGUUUCAGUGUUGUCCUACAUGCCAAUGCCAUCGUGUUUUGCUUCGAGAGAGUAGACCAGCUUUCGUUGGCCCUUCUUGAGUGAUUUCGAACAACUGAAUGUUUUGAGCAUUUGUUGGUUUGACAGAGGGCGCCUUCGAGCCAAGAUCAUGUUGGCAGUUCAAAAACUUCCCUACCAAUGAGGGGACUAUUUGGAGCUCUCUCUCUCUCUCUCUCUCUCUCUUUUUAAAGAAAUUUUGUGAAUUUAAAUUUCAUUGGCUAUGUACUUGUUUGAAUAAUGGUAAAUAACUCAGGUCAUGUUUAUUGAACCUUAAAAAAUACUCGAAUCAUAAUGAAAAUUUAUGUA